GCGUCGAUGGUGCAACGGUUCAGCACACGCUUUGGGAAGAGCGAGUUCUGAGUUUGAAUCCCGGCUGACGCA